rnacentral:rRNA from 1 species
GGGGAAAAAUUAAUAAAAUUUAUAAAUAAUAAAAAAAUUUUUAAAAAUAUUUAUGGGGUUAAAGUAUUUUUAAAGAAAAAAUUAAAAAAUUUAUAGUAAAAUAGUAUUGUGGAAGAAAUUUGAAAUAGAUGAUGAAAAUAAAAUUAAUUUAAAGUAAAUUUAGUUUAUUGUAUCUUGUGUAUCAGAGUUUAUAAAUAAAGAUAUUUAAGUAAAAUUUUCUCGAAUUUUGAAGAGUUAAUUAAUUAAAAAAGUUAAUGUUAAAUAAUUAUUUUUAAUAAUUAAUUGGAAAUGAAAUGUUAAUCGUUUUAAAAUAUAUCUAGUUUUUUUAGAAAUAAAUUUAAUUUAAAAUAAAAAUUUUUAAUUUUUUUUAUUUUUAAAAAAUUAAAAAUUUUUAUUUAAUAUUUUAAGGGAUAAGCUUUAAAAUAAAAUUUUAUAAUAAUUAUUUAAUAAAAUUAAAAUUUUAGAAUUUAAUUAUUUAAUAAAAUUAAAAUUUUAGAAUUUAUAUUGUUAGUAAAUUAUAAUUUUUUAUAAAUAAUUUAAUUAGAAAAAAAAUUUAAGAGUAAAAAUUUAAUUUUUUAUAAAAAAGUAAUUUUUAAUUUUUUAAAAUUAGCUAUAAUGAUAAAAUUAGUAUAUAAUUUUUUAACAAUAAUUAUAAUUAUGAAAAAAAAUUAUAAUAAGGAAUUUGGCAAAAAUUUAUAUUCACUUGUUUAUCAAAAACAUGUCUUUUUGAAAAUAAUUUAAAGUCUAAUCUGCCCACUGAUAAAAAUAUUAAAGGGCUGCAGUAUUUUAACUGUACAAAGGUAGCAUAAUCAUUUGUCUCUUAAUUGGUGACUUGUAUGAAAGAUUGGAUGAAAUAUAAACUGUCUCAUUAUAAUUAAGUAAAAUUUAAUUUUUUAGUAAAAAAGCUAAAAUAAUUUUAAAAGACGAGAAGACCCUAUAGAGUUUUAUAAUUUUGUUAAGUUUAUUAAAAUAUAAAUUUUUAAAAUAAAAUUAAUUUAAUUAUUUUGUUGGGGUGACAAAAAAAUUAAAUUAACUUUUUUUUAAAAAAAUUACAUUAAUAAAUGAAUAAAUGAUCCAUUAUUAAUGAUUAUAAGAAAAAUUACCUUAGGGAUAACAGCGUAAUUUUUUUUUUUAGGUCAAAUAAGAAAAAAAGUUUGCGACCUCGAUGUUGGAUUAAGAUAAAAUUAAAAUGCAAAAGUUUUAAAUUUUUGAUCUGUUCGAUCAUUAAAAUCUUACAUGAUCUGAGUUCAAACCGGUGUAAGCCAGGUUGGUUUCUAUCUUUAGGAAAUUAAAAUAUUUUAGUACGAAAGGAUUAAAUAUUUAAAAUAAUUUUAAUAGAAUGAAUAUUAUUAAUAAAUUUAAAAUGUAUAUAAUUUAAUAACUAUUUUGGCAGAAAAAAUGUAAU